AUGGCAAAUCUCCUGUUUCCAGUAGUGCCAGACCAUAGAGCCACUGUCCAUGAAACAAUUGCUACAUCCUCCUGCCAUCUUGUUUGCCUACAGGAAACAAAGCUUCAAGUCAUUGACAGUUUCAUUGCUACAUACCUUGGUGGUUAUCGAUUGAAGAAUUUCGCCUACAAACCUGCUGAUGGAACAAAAGGAGGCAUAUUACUCCUAUGGGAUGAUAACGUGGUGAACAUGUCCAAUGUCCAGAUUGGAUCAUAUUUUCCUUCCAAAGAUGUUGUUGUCAAGAAUUCUACGGAGAGCAAUAACUUCAAGCUUACCACUGUAUAUGGGCUAACUAGAAUCAUUCACAAAGGCGCCUUUUUUCUCGAGCUAUCCUCCCAGAAACCGUUGCCAGGGACAAAAUGGCUGGUUAAUGGGGACUUCAACCAGAUUUACCGGGCCAGAGAUAAAAACCGCUCUAAUGUUGAUUGUAGCAGAUUAGUUUGCUUCCGCAACACUCUUACCUCCUGCGAGCUCAAGGAGACCCCCCUCCAGAACCGGAAGUUUACUUGGAGUAACGAGAGAAACAAUCCGACACUUAGCAAACUUGACAGUUUUUUUUGCAAUGAGGAUUAGGACAUUGAAUUCGCCAACCACAUACUUCAUGCCGUGUCCUCCUCGCUCUCAGAUCAUUGUCCAUUGUUGCUCGCUUGCGCGGAUGGCCCCAAGAAACCCAGGUCCUUUAGGUUUGAGAACCAUUGGACUAGGAUGCCAAGCUUCCAAAAGACGGUCAACGACGCUUGGAACGAAGAUUUGAGUCACCAAGAUCCCUACCAGAGACUUUUUUACAAGCUAAAAUCUACUAGUCGACGAUUACGUUCCUGGAGCAAAACACUCUUCGCCAAAUCUAAGGUCCAGCUACACAUGGCCCUUGAGGUUAUUCUCCAUCUCAAUAUGGCCUAGGAACAAAGAGAGUUAUCCCAACAGGAAAUUGAUCUUCGGAAACGGCUCAAGAGGAAGAUUAUCACAUGGGCUGUGCUUGAGAAGUCCAGAAAGAGGCAAAACUCAAGAAUCACCAAUUUGAAGGACGGCGAUGCUAACACCCGCUAG
rnacentral:rRNA from 1 species